rnacentral:lncRNA from 1 species
UUCUCAAAGCUCAGCCAUGGGGAGCUGUGGCUGGAACUCCCAUUGCCUUUCGACUGGCCACCAGCGGAGAUCCCAUUGCCGGAUAUCCCAUCGCCUUUCGAUGGGCCUACAUUCGUGCUACCGCCACCGUCACCAUUGCCAUCACCACCUCCGCCAUCUCCAUCACCACCUCCGCCAUCACCAUCACCACCUCCUCCGUCGACAAUACCACUUAUUCCUCCUUUUACCGGCGGCUUUUUGCCUCCUUUGCCCGGCUCUAAGCUUCCUGAUUUUGCCGGCCUUUUGCCUCUGAUUCCCAACUUACCUGAUGUGCCUCCCAUAGGUGGUGGUCCACCUGUUAACCAGCCAAAGCCGUCGUCACCAUCACCCCUAGUUAAGCCGCCACCACCACCACCUUCACCAUGUAAGCCAUCACCACCUGAUCAGUCUGCAAAGCAACCACCACAACCUCCUCCAGCAAAACAACCAUCACCUCCACCUCCUCCACCACCAGUUAAGGCACCAUCUCCAUCUCCAGCAAAGCAACCACCACCUCCUCCACCGCCAGUUAAGGCACCAUCUCCAUCUCCAGCCACUCAGCCACCUACAAAGCAACCGCCACCGCCGCCACGUGCUAAGAAAUCGCCUCUUCUACCUCCUCCGCCACCAGUUGCUUAUCCGCCAGUUAUGACACCAUCUCCAUCACCGGCUGCUGAGCCACCUAUUAUAGCACCAUUUCCAUCACCACCAGCGAAUCCACCCCUCAUUCCCCGUCGACCAGCACCACCAGUAGUUAAGCCGCUUCCACCUUUGGGGAAGCCCCCAAUCGUCAGUGGCCUUGUUUAUUGUAAAUCCUGCAACAGCUAUGGGGUUCCCACUCUGCUCAACGCCUCCCUACUCCAAGGUUAGUGUACUUCAAAACCUUUUCAGUACUUAUAUAUUUUCAAUACUUAUAUAAUUUCAAUUCUUAUAUAUUUUUAAUAUACUAACACAGAAAGCUACAAGAAUGAGAGGGGUUUAAAUUAUAUAUACCGUUAUAACUUUACUCCUUUAUUUUACAAAAUUAAAGGGGUCUAGAAUUAAAUUUGGUGGGUUAAAAUAUCAAAAAAUUUAUUGAUGAACUCGUUACACUUUUAAAAUCAUGGAUUAACAUUUACUAAUUAAUGCAUUCUUUUUAUUUAAAAGUUUACUAACUUAUCACAUAUGUUGCUACUACUAUUGUCCCUAUUUAUAUGGCACGGUUCGAAUUUAAGCGUCAAACUUCUUAAUUUUAACUAUAAAUUUGGAUAUAAAAAUAAAAAUUUAAAAAAAAUAGAGAAAAAUAAUGAGGUGGGGUUGGGGGCUAGUUGGGCGGGAGUGAAUGUGUUGGUGAUAAGGAAGAAAAAGAAAAGAAAAUUAUGGAGCGGAGCAAAUAAAUGGAGCGGGUCAAAUAUGAGGCGGAUAUAUUAUACUCAUAUUAUAUGAAGUAAAACCAGAAACCACAUGGCCUAAUAAAAUAAUGUCAACUCAUUAAAAGCGGAGCCCAUAUCCACUGCCGUUAAAUCGAGGGGUUAGCAAUAAAAAUAACCAUGGGUGUAUUUUUGGACCCAAAGGUAGACAGAUAGUAAUUCUAAAUCAUUUACCAAACGGAUAGAAUAAUUUUGACCCUUUUUACGAAUAAAUUUUACAUAUUUGAAAAUUGUGUUAAAAAUACUUUAAAUCAUAAUAAUUAACAAUUUAAAAUAUUUAAAGGUAUUCAAUAAAUAUAUAUAAAAAAUUUAUUUGACUCUUAAAAUUCGAACUAUACCAUAUAUAUUAAUACAGGGAGCAUAAUGCUAUAUUUCGUCACGAAGUUGCUACGCUCCUAACCCAUUGAUUGAAUGUCUCAUUCGCCACAAUUAGUAUAGUUUUAGCUUGUACUUCUUCCGUCUCAUAUUAUGUGUCGUGUUUCUCUUUACACACCCUUUAAAAAAUAUUAAUUUGGAAAGGGAUUAGACUAUUCUACUUUUAUUUAUGUCUUAAGAUAUAAUCUCUCUUCAUUGAAUAUUUAUUCUAUUUAUGUGUUUUCUCUAUCUUCAAGAAUAACUAUUACUAAGGGUAAAAAAAAGAAAAAAACAAUCAAUUUUAUCUUGAAUUUCUAAAAUGACAAAUAAUUUGAGACAACUAUUUUUAGUAACAAUGACUAUUAAUAUGAGAUGGAGGGAGUAACUUUUUACCCGGUUACUAAUUAUCACUUAUCAUAAAAAUUUAUACUCCUUGAGUUUCAAUUUAUGUGAAUUUAUUUGACUGGACAAGGAGUUUAAGGAAAAAGAGAAGAUUUUUGAACUUGUGGCAUAAAAUGAGACACAUAUUUUAUGUGACUAUAAAUCAUUGCAUAAACAUAAAUUAUCAAAAUAGCAGUCUUAUAUCAAUUUUUCUCUUGGGAUUGAGCUUACAAAAUUCAAUGGCAGGAGCUGUUGUGAAACUAAUUUGCUACGGAAAAAAAACAAUGGUUCAAUGGGCCACGACAGACAACAAAGGUGAGUUUCGGAUCAUGCCCAAAUCUUUAACCACAGCAGAUGUUGGCAAGUGCAAGGUAUAUUUAGUGAAAUCACCAAAUCCAAAUUGCAAUGUCCCAACAAAUUUCAAUGGUGGAAAAUCUGGUGGUUUAUUGAAGCCUCUCCUACCACCUAAACAACCGAUUACCCCUGCCGUUGUCCCUGUCCAACCACCCAUGUCUGAUUUAUAUGGUGUUGGACCUUUUAUAUUUGAAGCCUCCAGCAAAAUGCCAUGCGAUAAGAAUUGAGCUCCUCAUUAACAGAGAAUACAAGCCAGAAAGAUGGGAAUAAUGUAUGAGCAUGAGUUUGUGAUGGAAUUUUUUUUCUUUUUUGUUCUAUAGUUUAUACAAGGAGACAGAAAACUUUGUACCACUAUACAGAAAUCAAAUCAGUCGGAAAAUUCAAAAUCGAACUUAUGAAAACUGAAAAUAUUGACUCCUGACUUGAAAGUCAUCAAUUAUUUUGGGUAUUUGAAACUACAAUUUUUGUUUUUCUAAUAGCGUACUGCCUAUUUUUUAAUUUUAU